GGGGAGGUGGGAUAGUGGUCAGCCUUCCUGGUCUGGUACCCAGGAGAAGUGGGAUCGAAACCCACCCUCCCCA
rnacentral:tRNA from 1 species